rnacentral:rRNA from 1 species
GACGAACGCUGGCGGCGUGCUUAACACAUGCAAGUCGAACGGAAAGGCCCUGCUUUUGUGGGGUGCUCGAGUGGCGAACGGGUGAGUAACACGUGAGUAACCUGCCCUUGACUUUGGGAUAACUUCAGGAAACUGGGGCUAAUACCGGAUAGGAGCUCCUGCUGCAUGGUGGGGGUUGGAAAGUUUCGGCGGUUGGGGAUGGACUCGCGGCUUAUCAGCUUGUUGGUGGGGUAGUGGCUUACCAAGGCUUUGACGGGUAGCCGGCCUGAGAGGGUGACCGGCCACAUUGGGACUGAGAUACGGCCCAGACUCCUACGGGAGGCAGCAGUGGCGAAUAUUGCACAAUGGGCGGAAGCCUGAUGCAGCAACGCCGCGUGCGGGAUGACGGCCUUCGGGUUGUAAACCGCUUUCGCCUGUGACGAAGCGUGAGUGACGGUAAUGGGUAAAGAAGCACCGGCUAACCACGUG